UGGUACCGUCAACAACAAGACUUAUUCAUUCCUGCUGCAUUCGUCCCACUUGACAGGAGUUUACGACCCGAAGGCCUUCGUCCUCCACGCGGCGUCGCUGCGUCAGGCUUUCGCCCAUUGCGCAAGAUUCCUC
rnacentral:rRNA from 1 species